rnacentral:lncRNA from 1 species
GAGUGCUACGACCACUUAACUCUCCUCUCUGUUCCCAGACUGAGUGCUACGACCACUAAUCUCCUCUUGUCCCAGAAGUGAGUGCUACGGACCACUAAAUACUCCUCUCUGUUCCCAGACUGAGUGCUACGACCACUAACUCUCCUCUCUGUUCCCAGACUGAGUGACUAACGGCCACUAACUCUCACUCUCUGUUCCAGACUGUGAGUGCUACGGGCACUCUAACCCGCUGCAGCUACAUAGACUACCUGAACAUUGUGACGUGCGUCAGCUGCAAGCACAAUACCAGAGGACAGAACUGCCCAGCACUGCAGACUGGGCUACUUCAAGAACGCGUCCGCCGAACUAGACGACGAGGGUGGUCUGCAUCGGUCAGUCACAAUGUGUGUUGUGGUGUGUGUAUUUAUUGCGAAUAUCCUUGGCCAUAUGUGUGUGUUACAAAACAGUAUGAAAUGUUGAUCCACCAAGACGUCUUGAUCAGAAAUACAGUUUAGAGAUCAGCAUCUCCAAACAAACUGGCAGUAAAACAUAAAAACACUGACUCACUGAGAUCAGACUAUUAAUCCUCUGGAUUCUCUGUGGAGCUGAUGUGAAUCAGACUAUAAUCCUCCUGGAUUCUCUGUGGAGCGAAUGUAGAUC